GGGAAGCAUGGGGCAUGCCUGUAAUCUCUCCUGCCAGGGCGGCAGAGACUGACAGUUCUCUUGAGGUCAGGAGUUCUGAGCUGCAGUGGGCUAAGGUGAUCAGGUAUCUUCACUAAGUCCUGCAUUAACAGGAUGAGUUCCCAGGAGAGAGUACUACCAGGUUUUGUAAAGAGGGGCAAACUGUCCCAGGUUGGAAAUAGAACAAGAUGAAGCUUCUGUGCCAGUCAGUGGGAUCAAGUUUGUGAGUAGCCCCUGCAUUUCCAACCUAGGUGAGAGAGGGAGACCCAA
rnacentral:SRP_RNA from 1 species